ACCUUUGACAUGUACGGAAUUUGCCAGAGAUGGCUUAGUGCUCGAAAGAGAACCGUAACACAGGUGCUGCAUGGCUGUCGUCAGCUCGUGUCGUGAGAUGUUGGGUUAAGUCCCGCAACGAGCGCAACCCUUGUCAUUAGUUGCUACGAAAGGGCACUCUAAUGAGACUGCCGGUGACAAACCGGAGGAAGGUGGGGAUGACGUCAAGUCCUCAUGGCCCUUAUAGGUGGGGCUACACACGUCAUACAAUGGCUGGUACAGAGGGUUGCCAACCCGCAAGGGGGAGCUAAUCCCAGAAAACCAGUCGUAGUCCGGAUCGCAGUCUGCAACUCGACUGCGUGAAGUCGGAAUCGCUAGUAAUCGCGGAUCAGCAUGUCGCGGUGAAUACGUUCCCG
rnacentral:rRNA from 1 species